rnacentral:rRNA from 1 species
UACGUAGGGUGCGAGCGUUGUCCGGAAUUAUUGGGCGUAAAGGGCGCGUAGGCGGUUUGUCGCGUCGGGUGUGAAAACUCGGGGCUUAACUCCGAGCCUGCUUCUGAUACGGGCAGACUAGAGGUAUGCAGGGGAGAAUGGAAUUCCUGGUGUAGCGGUGAAAUGCGCAGAUAUCAGGAGGAACACCGGUGGCGAAGGCGGUUCUCUGGGCAUGACCUGACGCUGAGGAGCGAAAGUGUGGGGAGCGAACAGG